rnacentral:misc_RNA from 1 species
UAGGGGAGCAUAUGGAACCAACUCGAUACCAAGUCCCUGGACAAGCAAACUGACAAGCAUGCCAGCUCCUUGUUUAGAAUGUACAGAUGUAAUGUCACCUAACAUAGGAACCACAUUCUCAAUAACUGAGCCCAUCACAUCCAAUGUCAUUGACUUGGCCAUGGUUGUAAUACAUCUAGAUGCAGCUAAUCUCACGGCAAUAUGUGAAUAACGAACACAUCUGAAAAUGCAUGGUAGGAGAGUGAGGAGUUUCG